AUCAUUUUUAAAAAGUAAAUUGAAAUUCUCAUUGGAAAAUUUAUCAUUUCCAAUACUUUUUCAGAAGUAUCACUUCUUGCCAGGCAUGGUGGUGCAUGCCUGAAAUCCCAGCAGCUCGAGAGGCUGAGACAGAGUUCAAAGCCAGCCUCAGGAAUGCCAAGGUGCUAAGCCAACUCAGUGAGACCCUAUCUCUAAGUAAAAUACAAAAAAUAGGGCUGGGGAAUGUGGCUGGUCGAAUGCCCCUAAGUUCAAUCCCUGGUACAAAAAAAAAAAAAAUCUUAUGUAAUUACGGGCAGGACUAUCCAUAAAUAUGCUUACCUUCUAUGAAAAUAGUAAAGUUAUUUUGAAUGUACUAUAUGUAACCACAACUUGUAAAUCAGGAUGAGGGACUUACUGCUCAUUGACAGAUACCUCUUUAUGACUAUAUAUAACACAAGUAUUUUUUGC
rnacentral:lncRNA from 1 species